UACGUAGGGGGCAAGCGUUGUCCGGAUUUAUUGGGCGUAAAGAGCUCGUAGGUGGUUCGGUAAGUCGGAUGUGAAAUCUCCAGGCUCAACCUGGAGGGGUCAUUCGAUACUGCCGUGACUAGAGUUCGGUAGGGGAGUGUGGAAUUCCUGGUGGAGCGGUGAAAUGCGCAGAUAUCAGGAGGAACACCCGUAGCGAAGGCGGCACUCUGGGCCGAUACUGACGCUGAGGAGCGAAAGCAUGGGUAGCGAACAGG
rnacentral:rRNA from 1 species